AUUUAUAUAGUUUAAUUAAAACAUUACAUUUUCACUGUAAAAUUAGAAAAUUUCUUAUAAAUUA
rnacentral:tRNA from 1 species